rnacentral:lncRNA from 1 species
GGAGAGUGGGGAAAGGACAUGUGCCGUCUCCAAGGCUGUUGUUAAAAUUAACACAAACCCCCCGAGGCCCGUCGUCACAGGUGGAGGCUCCGUCGCGGGGAGGGGCCGCCGCCCUGACUCGCCCCGCGCCCGGGGCUGCCCUCACCGGGGUCCCGGGAUGGGAGCGAGGUCGGGCUCGGCGUCCGCGGGCUGCGGCUCCGGGGAGCGUCGCCAGACCGCGGAGGACCCCACGAGCCCUGCAAUCCCGAAAGGCGCUCGGAGCCUCCCAAGGAGGGGCACUGCUCACCGCGCCCUCCCCAGGGAGCGCCGCAAGGAGCAAGCGCACGUGCGCCCGGCCCGGCCCGGCCCCGCCGCGAGCCCCCGCCCCCGCCCCCGCCCCCGCCCCGGCCCCGGCCCCGGCCCCGGCGCCCCCCGCAGCCGCGGGAUGGGAGUGUCCUCUCGGCGGGGACGCCGGCCCGCCCACCGCGCCUGCAGCCGCCUCCCUCCGUCCUGACUCUCCGCCCGGCCGCCCCGCCAGGGGCGCGCGGCCGCCGUCCGCCCGCCUGCAAGGUAGGGGCCCCCUGCCCCCUGCCCCCUGCCCCCCUGCCCCCCUGCCCCCCGCCCGCGCCCCCCGCGCCCCGCGCCCCCCGCGCCUCCUCCGUGCGCCCGGCGCCCGCAGCCCAGCGGGAGGAGCCUCCCCGCCGCCCCGGGACCGGCCCCGACCUCCCCCCCGGGUCCGCGAGCAGAGCCGUGCCCCCCCCCCCCCCGCCCGGCCACGUCCCCCGCUGCGGGCUCGGGCCUCCGCGGUCUGGGCGCCUGGGCCGCGGCACCUCCUCCGCCCGCUGCCCGGGGGGGUCCGUGCACCCGGGGCCAGCGCGGGGGCGGGGGCGGGGGGUGGGGGGGGCGCUCCCUCCGGGCGGGCCGGGGCCUGGGCAGGGGCCGCGAGGGGACGGGGCGGGCGCGCGAGUCCCGGGGACCCGCUUGGGGACCCUCCCGGCUCCGAGCUCCGCGGCGCGGGGCUCCCACGUGCGGGGGGCGGGGGCUCGAGGUCUGGACGAUUCCCAGUUUUUUUCUUGGAAAAAUGUCCAGGCAGCCCCCCUUCCGCCCAGAACGGGACCUAACGCCGCAAGCACCGAGGCGGGGGGGGCCCCGCGGGGCGCCCCGAGGCCCUUGCUCCCGCGCCUCCCGGGCCGCCGCCGCCCUGGCCCCGCUGGGCUUCUGGCCCAAAGGAAGCUCCGGGGACGGUUUCUGGAAACUCCAAACAGCCCUGGAGCCUCGUUAGGGGACCUCAGCCGGGUCGAUUGCCCCUUGGCUGCUGUGGAGGCUGUGAUGACCUCCAGGGCCGCGGCCCUCCGGGCGAUGCUUCUCCAGGGGCUGAGGCCAACGCAGAACUCCCGUGGCACCCACUCGGACUCGCGGCGUGUUCACAUGUGGGGUUUUAUUAAAUCCUCCCACCAACCGUGUGAGACAGGAACAGUUAGCCCCGGUGUGUCCGCCAAGAUUGCCCCGCACAAGUGGCUCCGGAUGGAUCACACGAAGUGA